rnacentral:rRNA from 1 species
UACGAAGGGGACUAGCGUUGUUCGGAAUCACUGGGCGUAAAGCGCACGUAGGCGGAUAUGUCAGUCAGGGGUGAAAUCCCGGGGCUCAACCUCGGAACUGCCUUUGAUACAGCAUGUCUUGAGUCCGAUAGAGGUGGGUGGAAUUCCUAGUGUAGAGGUGAAAUUCGUAGAUAUCGGGAGGAACACCAGUGGCGAAGGCGGUUGCCUGGAGCUUUGCUGACGCUGAUGCGCGAAAGCGUGGGGAGCGAUCCGG